CCACGGUGAGGUCAGCCUGCCCUUCCCUGCCCUGUGCCGCCUCGCGAGUCCUGGAGAGGCCCGCGCCGGCCUCGAAGCAAAAGACGACCGCCGAAACGCGACCGUUUACCGCCUGCUUUUUCCAAGCAAAAUUUGGAGACAAGUCCCACCCGGGGAAGAACCUGGCUAAGGGUCGGACAUGGAAGAGAAGACGCUAAAACAGAAAUUGCCUCCCUGCUUUCCACCUGCAGCUUCUAGACGCCGCCCUCGGUGCCACCCCUCGCGGAAGGCGUUCUCCCACACCGGGGUCGCCACUGCGCCCAGCUGCAGAAAGCACUCCGCACCCCCAGCAAUUCGGGGCAUGGAGCCGGCGGGGGUGGCGCGGCCGGGGCCUGGAGAAGCAGCGCUGAGUCCGACACCGCCCACCAGGCCCCUCUUGGAGAACUAGACAGGCGACAGCACUCAGGACCCCGGCUGCGGCCGGCGCCGCGGCAGCCACGCGCUCCAGCCCGCGUGCACCUGCUUCGCUCCGCCGCGCUCCCGGCUUAAGCCGGCGGCUCCGGGGUCCUGCCCCGACUUUUCGUACUUUCUCCCUGCUCCGUGCCUAACUCAAUUCUUAACCAAAUCCUGAAAGCACAGGAGUUUGGUUGGGGCUGGGACAGGCGCAGGGACCCAAUUCUCCCCAAGCUCUGCGGGCCACGGCCGAAACCACCCCGGGGAAAGCCGUAGGGGCGCGCCGGCCCACGCGGGACCGAGUUCAGAGGACUCUGCACCGUCAGUUUCAGGGCCGACGUUUAUAGAGCGCUUCCCACGUGCCGCACGCGGUUCUAAGAGCUUGGCUUGUAUUAAUUCGUUUAAUCCUCCCAGCAACACUGUUAGGCAUUAUAAUGAUCCCAAUCGUAGAAGUCAAAAAACCGAGGUGCAGAAACAAAGUAACUUGUUCCAGAUCACGUAGGUGGUAAGUGCAGGGUAUUCUGGAGCAGGAGGGAGGGUGGAAAGCACAGAAAAAAAAAAAUGAACUGGGAAAAGCGUUGACGUGCUUAGUAUUUCAUACUGCAGGUUCCACUUUCAGAGCCAGGCUGCGAGCCUACAGGGUAGAGUAGGGGUGCCGGGCCCCCUGGUGUCCUGGCGUACUCGGGGGGAAGACAGUCGCCGGCCGCCGGGCUCCUGCCACGCUGUGGCGCGCGUGGAAGGUGAGGGUCCUCCGCUGUCCCGCCGCCUCCCACAGGGCGGCCCAGAGCCUGCAUCUUUUGCAAAGGGAACAUAGGAUGGAGAGAAAGAAAGUCCCGCCUGAAAUAAGCAAACGCGGUGGCGGCUUUGCGGUCGGCCACGUCCGCUAGGAACCCGCGAGGCGCCCUUGCGAGCUGCGCAGUCGAGUUUUCUUUCCACUGCACUUUCACGUUCUGCCGGAUGGGAUUUCGGGGGCAGAAGACUCCUCGAAUGCAGACCGGCUGUCUGUGGCUGGACCCCCAGUGCUGCAAAGGAAUCUGAUAUACCUGGAGGAACCAACCUCGAGGUCCAACCAAGGGAAACAUCCCCUCUCCUUCUCCCUCUCCCAGAGCUCCCUCUUUGCAGUGGAGCCCUAGAGAACCAACCCACAGCCCGAAAACACCCGGAGACCAGGGACCCCGGUCCUCAUAGGCAGGCUCACACUUGUAGACAAUGGACCCAUAUUUUCCUCAUUAAAGACAAACCCAAAUCCGCCUAUGAGAGAUUACCCAGGGAAUGAGAGAUCCCAAGUACCGUGAAACUUAGAGGGUGCCUUAAAACUAAAGUGUUUUUAUUGGAUUGAACCAAAAAUAACUAUAAAUGUGUGUAUGUCAGAAUGUUAAUACCUUUUUAUAACCGUUAUUUCACCUUUAUAAUAACUGUGGGAGGGGGCAUCAUUUUUUCUUACUUUUGUUUUCCUGAUCCCCAUUUUACCAUAAAACAGAAACAAGCCCAGAAACAUUAUUAAGUGACUUAAGGUAAUCAGGAGCAGGUGCACUUCUCAGACUGUAAACGAGGGCAAUGUGACCACCGCAUCGCCACUCAUCUGUGCAGGGUGGCGUUGGGGGUGAGGGAAAUGCUAAGAGCACAACAUGGAUUGUUGGGGGGCAAAAACAACAAAUAAAUCAAUAAACAACUAUUUGUGAAAUAUGUGUACGGAGUCCUCGGGGCAGGGGGCUGGAUAUAAAGCCAAACUUAUCUCCCAUGCUCCGUGGUCCACUCCCCAUGACUCCUUCACCUCUCCAGCCUAGUCUGAAAUUCUCCCUCAGGCACUUUCAGAUGAUAUGAAAAAUUCUUCCACAGCUAGCCACUGUCAGGAAAAAAAUGAUUUGGAAACUGUUGUACGGUGCACAUGGACAAUGCAUACCUGCAGAUAUUUUCAAAGGACACGUGCUCUUGUGAUACAUUAUGUUGUCGGGCAUAUAUGGAAGGCAUCCUGGGAUUAACUCUGGUGACUGAAGGAAACAGCACUCCUUUUCACCGUUUACAGCCACUGCGUGUACCCGGCCUGCAGUGAGAGUGGGGGAGGGAACAUUUGCCAGCCUUUCUGGAGAUCCAGCAGCCAGAAGAAAGCCAAGAAACUCAGAGCUGUAAGUCACCUGGGGAAAUGGAGAGUUCUGUUUGUAAAAUACACAUCCACAACAAUGUCUCAGCCCUAUUUUGAAAUUCCUCAUGGGAAGGUGUGCGUGCAUAUGCCAAAAUGUAAUCUUAGGUAUGAGAGCUAGAACCGGAGAUGUGGAGAGGAGUUACAAAGUGCGCUUUUAAAACAUGAUGUCUAGAUUUCCUCUAAAAUAUUUCAGCAAGAAAUGAAAACAGAAAGAUGAAUGAAGCAAGUGUGGCAAAACCUUGGUAACUGUUACAUGUAGGUGAUGGGCGUAUGAGAGCGUAUACUCGCUCCACGUUGGUAUACUAUGAAACUUUUUUCGUAAUAACAAAUAUAAAAAGAUCCUGCAGCCCCGGCUGAGACGCCCCGAUCCACCUGGUGCCUCCCCUUUGUAUCAAGCCGGCCCCACAACGACCCCUCAAGCUCCUUCCUGUCUUGCAGACUUCUACCAGGACGAGUUUAGACAGCUGCAAGGGUGUUCUUAAGAAGCUAAAAGAAAUGAAAAAUCACAAUUUUUAAAAAUCGCUGUCUUUCUGUCCCUGUAGCCACCGAAAGACGAGGUACUUCCUCAGGGACAGAAUGCUGACGCCGCGCAGAGUCGGCCGAAUCCAGCUUCUCCAAGGGCGGGCGGGUGGGAUGAUUUGUUGAUUUGCUUGUUUUCCACCAAACCGCAGGGCACCUCCAGGAGCUCCGGGACAACUUACAAAUGAAGACACAGAGCCCCCGUCCCUUGCUUCAGAGAACCAAAUAACGGAACUGAAUGAU
rnacentral:lncRNA from 1 species